UGACCAUGGUCGGCAGUGAUCAGAAGGUCC
rnacentral:piRNA from 2 species